UAGUUUUGUCGUAAGUCAAACUUCUCUAACUCUGACCAAACUUGUAGAAAAAUAUAUUAACACCUACAAUAACAAAUAAAUGCACUAACAAGACAUUUCAUGGUGGGCUUAAUGAAACUGAUUUGAUGGUGUAGAUGUUAGUGCAUUUUUCUAUAAGCUUGGUCAAAGUUAUAGAAGUUUGACUUACGACAAACUAAA
rfam:Dichanthelium oligosanthes cultivar Kellogg 1175 unplaced genomic scaffold Do_version_2_scaffold3499, whole genome shotgun sequence.